AGUAGGGUAAGCUAAUUCAAGCUGUUGGGCUCAUAACCCAAAAAUAGACACACUCUCCCUUCUAC
rnacentral:tRNA from 1 species